rnacentral:rRNA from 1 species
CCAUUGGAGUCUAAAAGGCCGCGGUAUUAUGACCGUGCUAAGGUAGCAUAAUCAUUAGUCUUUUAAUUGAAGGCUGGAAUGAAUGGUUGGACAAGAAAUAAGCUGUCUUAAAUAAAAAUAUUGAACUUAACUUUUAAGUGAAAAGGCUUAAAUUUUCUAAAGGGACGAUAAGACCCUAUAAAACUUUAUAUUUAAAAAUAAUUGCUAUUAUUAUUUAAAGAGUUUAUUUUUAAAUAUUUUAUUGGGGUGAUAAGGAUAAAAUAUAAGACAACUGUCUUUUAUUUUAACAAUAAUUUUUGAGUAAAUGAUCUUAAUAAAGGAAUAAAAGAUUAAGUUACUUUAGGGAUAACAGCGUAAUUUUCUUUGAGAGUUCUUAUC